rnacentral:rRNA from 1 species
ACGGAGGGAGCUAGCGUUGUUCGGAAUUACUGGGCGUAAAGCGCGCGUAGGCGGCUUUGUAAGUUAGAGGUGAAAGCCCGAAGCUCAACUUCGGAAUUGCCUUUAAGACUGCAUCGCUAGAAUCGUGGAGAGGUAAGUGGAAUUCCGAGUGUAGAGGUGAAAUUCGUAGAUAUUCGGAAGAACACCAGAGGCGAAGGCGACUUACUGGACACGUAUUGACGCUGAGGUGCGAAAGCGUGGGGAGCAAACGGUA